rnacentral:rRNA from 1 species
CAGUAGCCGCGGUAAUACGGAGGGUGCAAGCGUUAAUCGGAAUUACUGGGCGUAAAGCGUGCGUAGGUGGUGGUUUAAGUCCGUUGUGAAAGCCCUGGGCUCAACCUGGGAAUUGCAGUGGAUACUGGGUCACUGGAGUGUGGUAGAGGAUAGUGGAAUUUCCGGUGUAGCAGUGAAAUGCGUAGAGAUCGGAAGGAACAUCUGUGGCGAAGGCGACUAUCUGGGCCAACACUGACACUGAGGCACGAAAGCGUGGGGAGCAAACAGGAUUAGAUACCCCAGUAGUCCCUGUCUCUUAUAA